rnacentral:lncRNA from 1 species
AUCACAGCGUUGUCACACCUCCCAAACCCAGCAUCUGUUUUCCCCAACAGGUCCUGCCUCUUCUAUCUUUUUAUCUAUUACCACACUUCCAAACCUACUGCAAUAUCUUCUUGGGCUUCUUCAGCAGGGUCUGCCUGAACCAGUCUGUGGGGGAGAAACACUGCUCAGGCCUGUGUGUUACCAGGUGCCCUCUCACUGCCCACACAGGGAGGAGCCCCACCUCCCAGGGAGGACAGACAGACUGCAGCCCACCUCCCUGCACUGGGAAACAUCUUAUUCUCAGAGACCUGUUGCUCCACUAUUUUUUUUUUUUUUUUUUUUGAGACAGAGUCUCACUCUCACCCAGGCUGGAGUACAGUGGUGUGAUCUUGGCUCACUGCAACUUCUGCCUCCCAGGUUCAAGCGAUUCUCCUGCCUCAGCCUCCUGAGUAGCUGGGAUUACAGGCAU